CAGAUCUGUAAUUAUAAAUUCGCAAUUUAAUUUCCCCAAACUCCCAAGAAAUAAAUAUUCUCUUUAUUUGAUUUUAAUCAUCAAAUACAUUAUGGUAUUGGAAGAGUCGGGUAUUUAUCAGAAACAACAUUGUUUCGAACUUAAAAGACUCAUUUUUAUGUGUCACUACUGUGAUAUCAACUGUUUUCUUUUAGCAUUAAAGGGUUAUAUGGUUAUAUGGUUAAAGGGUCUUAUGAUUUAUCCUCCUACAUUUUUUACUCUGCAAAUCUUGAGUUAUUGCACAUUGUACUUCCUAGUUUUCAAGAAUCUAUUCAUUUGUCUCCAUCAACUUUGUUGGGACAACAUGGACAGUUAAAACUUUGUCAAUUAUAUGAAGAUUAUGCUAAUUUCUCUCACAUUUUUACUGCAUGCUAAAAAUAAUGCUUGCCAAAUGGAAUCUUAGACAUCCCAGAAUAAUAUGGUCACUAUAUUUCUAUUUCUGUCAUUAUUGAAAAUACCCAGCUCAGUGCCUGGCUCAAUAAAUGUUUGUUUCCCUUGCU
rnacentral:lncRNA from 1 species